rnacentral:piRNA from 1 species
AGGAAGGUCUGAGCCAGGCUACG